GCUCUCAUAGCUCAGUUGGAUAGAGCGGCUCCCUCCUAAGGAGCAGGUCGUGCGUUCGAAUCGCACUGGGGGCACCA
rnacentral:tRNA from 1 species